rnacentral:rRNA from 1 species
UACGGAGGGAGCUAGCGUUGUUCGGAAUUACUGGGCGUAAAGCGCACGUAGGCGGCUUUGUAAGUUAGAGGUGAAAGCCCAGGGCUCAACCCUGGAAUUGCCUUUAAGACUGCAUCGCUAGAAUUGUGGAGAGGUAAGUGGAAUUCCGAGUGUAGAGGUGAAAUUCGUAGAUAUUCGGAAGAACACCAGUGGCGAAGGCGACUUACUGGACACAUAUUGACGCUGAGGUGCGAAAGCGUGGGGGAGCAAACAGG